rnacentral:rRNA from 1 species
UACGUAGGGUGCGAGCGUUGUCCGGAAUUAUUGGGCGUAAAGAGCUCGUAGGUGGUUUGUCGCGUCGACUGUGAAAACCCGCGGCUUAACUGCGGGACUGCAGUCGAUACGGGCAGGCUAGAGUUCGGUAGGGGAGACUGGAAUUCCUGGUGGUAGCGGUGAAAUGCGCAGAUAUCAGGAGGAACACCGGUGGCGAAGGCGGCAUCCUGGACCGACACUGACGCUGAGGAGCGAAAGCCAGGGGAGCAAACGGG